rnacentral:rRNA from 1 species
UACAGAGGUCUCAAGCGUUGUUCGGAUUUACUGGGCGUAAAGGGUGCGUAGGUGGUGGAGAAAGUCUGACGUGAAAUCUCCGAGCUCAACUCGGAAAUGGCGUUGGAAACUUCUUUGCUAGAGGAUUGGAGGGGGGACUGGAAUACUUGGUGUAGCAGUGAAAUGCGUAGAUAUCAAGUGGAACACCAGUGGCGAAGGCGAGUCCCUGGACAAUUCCUGACACUGAGGCACGAAAGCUAGGGGAGCAAACAGG